rnacentral:lncRNA from 1 species
CACAUACUACAUUAAGAAUAAUGCUGUAGAGGAUGUUCCUACUCCUAAAACAGCGGCCUGGGCUGUGAGGAAGAUUUUUGAGACCAGAUCAUUGAUAACAAAAACACAGGGUGUACAGGGGGACCUGAAAUGUAGACUGAUCCAGCUACAGAGUGGUGGAAAAUUCAACAUCAAUAAACUCUACAAACUCCAACUCCCUCUUUUCCUCAAAGUACAAUGGAAAAGCAUAGUAUUGCAACCUAAACUACAUCCACGAUUCAAAUGUGU